rnacentral:siRNA from 1 species
CUAAAAUCAAUGGAGUUAGUG